rnacentral:rRNA from 1 species
CCUGAACGCUGGCGGCGUGGCUAAGACAUGCAAGUCGAACGGAUGUAGCAAUACAUCAGUGGCGGACGGGUGAGUAAUGUAUCGCUAAUGUGCCCUAGAGCCUGGGAUAGCCAUCCGAAAGGGUGGGUAAUACCAGAUGAAAUAACUUUGUCGCAUGGCAGAGUUCUCAAAGCAGCAAUGCACUCCUGGAGCAGGCGAUAUCGAUCAGCUAGUUGGUGAGGUAACGGCUCACCAAGGCGACGACGCGUAGCCGGGCUGAGAGGUUGACCGGCCACAUUGGGACUGAGACACUGCCCAGACUCCGUACGGGGGCG